UCCUACCCGGCGGAAAGUCUUCAGGCGCGGAGCGGCGGCACCAGCGGGAGUGAGGGGGCGUGGUUUCCAAAUGAUUGGCACCGACAACAGCGGCGGGAACCGGCCCGACCCUCCGUCUGACCCCGGGAGACGAGACGAGCCACGGCUGAGCCUGCCUGACCUGCAGGACGUCUCCAGCAUCUCUCUGUUGACAACACACACGAAGUGAUGGCGGGACCCGCUGCUGAGUUCCUGCAGAUAAAGGUCAUAACUUAACAACAAUGCUGCUGAUCAGAAGAUAGUGAGGUGAACUGAGGCGUUGUGUAUGACUCUCGAUGGGAAAGAAGAUCAGAGAGCAGUCUGUGUCAUCUGCAGCAGGUUAUGAAAGAGAAUUGCAGCAAAAUGGGGAAAGCUACAAACAACACCACCAUCAGUGAAGCAAACUGCCCUCUUUAACCAGGUUUUAGGCCACAUGCCCUAAUAUCUCCAUGUAUGGCUAAGCUUACACAUUGUCCAAUAAUACUUUUGUGAAGCAUUUUACAUUGUUUUGUUAAAAUUGCUAUAUUACUGGAAGUUGUUGUGAAUGCAGAGUAUAAACAGUUCAUGCAAUGCUGAAAUCAAUGAAAAUUUGGUGACAAUUUUAUGUGUCAUUGCAUCCUUGCAAAAUCCUCUGUUAGGAGCGAGAUUUGCUUAUGCAUUAUCUGCAAAGUCCUGCCUAUUCAUUGACAUCAGUCAGGAGUCUGCCAGACGUCAAUCCACAUAUGGGAGAGGAAUAUGUUUGAUGAAGCUCUUUAUUCAGGGGAAUGUGUUGGCAUCCCUUCCCUUGUUUGUCAUCACACAUUGAGUGCUGUGACAAAUGGUUCCAUUCAUAAGUUCUAAUGAGCGUUUACAUUGAACAGUGAUUAUAUAAUGAUAGGAGUGUAAACGUGGGGGACCAUUUCUUGUGUUGGAUCUUCAAAUGAGCCUCUAAUUAGUUUCACACCUCUGCAAUUUUUAAAUUUUCAGAUAUCUCUCCAAUUCCCUUUUACCAUCCCUUCAGCAUUGAGGUCCUGACACAGCAACUUGUUACAUAGAACAUAGAACAGUACAGCACAGUACGGGCCCUUUGGCCCACGAUGUUGUGCCGAACUAUGUAAACCUACCCCGCCAUCAACCUAACCCUUCCCUCCAUUUUUCUUACAUCCAUGUGCCUGUCUAAGAGUCUUUUAAAUGCCCCUGUUGUAUCAGCCUUCACCACCCCCAGCAGUGCGUUCCAGGCACCCACCACUCUCUGUGUAAAGAACCUACCUCUGACAUCUCCCCUAAACUUUCCUCCUCUGAUCUUAAAUGGAUGUCUAUGGUUUCCAACACUCACCUUAAACUUGUUUGAUAAGAACAUUGCUCUUUGCCAUGGUGGAGGAGGCAGGAUCUGUGGAGGAUGAUGUGUUGUCGUCUAGGUUGGUGGGCUACAAGGUGGAGACAAAAGGAGCUCUCUCCUUGCUCUGGCUGGGAGGAGAGAGGGUGAGAGCGGGGGUGUGGGAAUUAGAGGCAGGCCCGGUGGUUGAGGGGAAGUCACAGUUAAGGAAAAAGGAAGACUUAAGAAAGGUAUCACCUUCCACAGGAUUCCAUUACCAGACACAUCUUGCCCUGCCCUUUCAGAGUUUGAAGGGACUUUUCCGUCUGUGAAUCCCUGCUCCACUCCUUCCAUCCCUACCACACAUCCCCUGUUACACAGCUUUGUGUCUCCUUUCACGUGCACUGUGGUAGGUGCAACAAAUGCCUUUUACCCCUUCCUUUGACACCAUCCAGGGACUCAAUUAACCCUUCGAGGUGAAGCAGUGAUUCACUGCGUUUCUCUCAUUGCUCAGGUUGCGGUCUCCCCUACUCUGGAGAAACCAAACACAGACUGGGUGACUGCUUUGCAGGACACCUGCAUUCAGACCGCAAGGGAAACCCUGACCUUCCAGUUGCCUACCACUUUAAUCCUCCAUCCCAUUCCCUCACGGACAUCUCUGUCACCUCACCUCAUGAGAAUGCUUCUCCCUCUUCUAAACUAGAGACAGGACAGGCCCAGUCUGUUUAAUCUCUCCUCAUCAGACAUGCCAGGAAACAGCCUGUUACAUUUUUCUCCCUCUGUCACAAGUAUAUCCUUCCUUAGGUAAUGAGACCAGACUGCACGCAAUAUUCCAACUGCAGUCUCACCAGGAUCCUCUAUAUUUGGAGCAACACGUCUCUAUUCUAGUACUCAAAUAACAAUGCAGUAAGUGCCAGUAUACUGUUUGCCUCUCUAAUUGUUUCUGAAGCUACAAAUUAAUUUUCAGUGAUCCACGUACAAGGACUCCCUGGGCCCUCUGAGCACCAACAUCUUUAAAAAGAAAUAAACUGUAGAUGCUGAAAAUCUGAAAAGAAAAUGGCAGGUCAGGCGGCAUCUGGAAGAGACAGAGCAACGUUUCAAGUCAAUGACCUUUCAUCUGGGCAUUGUUCUAUGUAUGUAAUCUCUAGUGUAAAUUAAUUCUCAGAUGUGACUGGUUCUUCUGCUGAUCCUCUUCUGUGUCCCCUGGGCAUGACCUUCCUGCUCCUGGAAACAGUUGCUCCUUAUUCACUUUAUCAAAUUCUCUUCUGAUUUUGAACACCUCCAUUAAAUUUCCUCUUAACCUUCUCUAUUCCCACUUCUCCACUUUCUCCACACAACUCAAGUCCCUCAUCCUCGGGUCAGUUUUCUGUACUCUCUUGAUCAACUUGAAAUAUCUCAUGUAGGACUGUUAAUAUAUUUCCAAUUACUCUUGCACGACAUUAAUAUUUUAACGUGUUAAUUGAGCAUGUGAAUGAA